rnacentral:rRNA from 1 species
UACGUAGGGUGCAAGCGUUGUCCGGAAUUAUUGGGCGUAAAGAGCUCGUAGGCGGCUUGUCGCGUCGGCUGUGAAAACCUGGGGCUCAACCCCGGGCCUGCAGCCGAUACCGGGCAAGCGUAGAAUUCGGUUGAGGGGAGACUGGAAUUCCUGGUGUGAGACGGUGGAAUACGGCAGAUAUCAGGAGGAACACCGGUGGCGAAGGCGGGUCUCUGGGCCGAAAUUGACGCUGAGGAGCGAAAGCGUGGGGAGCAAACAGG